AUGGCAGAAUCGCCGCUUCUCCCUUUAGUGCGUGACGUGGCCAGCAAGGCUGCAGACGCAGUCGUCGGGAUGGUGACCCGCGUGUGUGGCCUCGAUGAUGAUCGCGGAACGUUGGAGCGCCAGCUGCUACCCGUCGAGUGCAAGCUGGCCAACGCCAAGGAGAGGAGCAUGACAAAUGGCUAUGUCAAGAGCUGGAUGAAGGAGCUCAAAUCUGUCGCCUACAAGGCCGACGACGUGCUUGACGACUUCCAGUACGAGGCACUACGCCGCCAGUCUAAAAUCGGCAGGUCCACUUCCCACAAGGUACUUGGCUACAUCACGCGCCGCAACCCGUUGCUCUUCCGUUUUGAAAUGAGCAGGAAACUCAAGAACGUCCUUGAGAAGGUCAAUAAGUUAGUUGAGGAGAUGAACAAGUUUGGCCUGGAGAAAUCUGUCCAUAAGGAGGAGCGGCGACAUCCUUGGCAGCAGACACACUCAAAACUGGACGACUCUACCAUAAUCUUUGGAAGAGAUGAUGAUAAGAAGGUGGUGGUGAAGUUGUUGUUGAACCAGCAAGAUCAGCGGAAGGUGCAGGUCCUGCCCAUCUUUGGGAUGGGAGGUCUUGGCAAGACGACUCUUGCUAAGAUGGUGUACAAUAGCCAGGAGGUCAAGCAACACUUUCAAUUGAAGAUGUGGCACUGCGUGUCAGACAACUUUGAUGCAAUUGCUCUUUUGAAAUCCAUCAUUGAGUUGGCUACAAAUGGAAGUUGUGACCUGCAUGGCAGCAUUGAACUAUUGCAAAAGCGACUUGAGCAAGUCAUUGGCCAAAAAAGGUUUAUUCUUGUUCUUGAUGAUGUAUGGAAUGAAGAUAAGAUAAUGUGGGAGGAUGUAUUGAAGCCACUAUUGUGUUCUGUUGGUGGCUCAGGAAGUGUUAUAGUGGUCACAUGUCGAAGCAAGCAAGUGGCCUCUAUAAUGUGCACAAUUAAGCCCCAUAAACUAGUAUUUCUGAGCGCAAAUGAUUCAUGGGAAUUGUUUUCAAACAAAACAUUUAGCAAUGGUGUGAAGGAGCCAGCAGAAUUAGUCAGCAUUGGAAGGCGUAUUGUCAACAAAUGUGGAGGGUUGCCUCUUGCUCUCAAGACAAUGGGUGGCUUGUUGAGUUCAAAGAAACAUGUACAUGAAUGGAAGGGCAUUGAAGCAAGUAGCAUAAGGGAUAAUGAUGGAGGAAAAUAUGAGGUCAUGCCCAUAUUAAAGUUAAGCUACAAACACCUGUCAUCUGAAAUGAAGCAAUGUUUUGCAUUAUGUGCAAUUUUCCCCAAGGAUUAUGAGUUGUAG
rnacentral:rRNA from 1 species